GCGUGAGUGAAGAAGCCCUUGGGUUGUAAAGCUCUUUUGUAGGGGAAGAUAAUGACUGUACCCUAAGAAUAAGGUCCGGCUAACUUCGUGCCAGCAGCCGCGGUAAUACGAAGGGACCUAGCGUAGUUCGGAAUUACUGGGCGUAAAGCGCGCGUAGGCCGUUGAGUUAGUUAAUUGUGAAAUCCCAAAGCUUAACUUUGGAACUGCAAUUAAAACUGCUCGACUAGAGUUUGAUAGAGGAAAGCGGAAUACAUAGUGUAGAGGUGAAAUUCGUAGAUAUUAUGUAGAACACCAGUUGCGAAGGCGGCUUUCUGGGUCAACACUGACGCUGAGGCGCGAAAGUAUGGGUAGCAAAGAGGAUUAGAUACCCUCGUAGUCCAUACCAUAAACGAUGAUUGCUAGAUGUUGGAAAUUUAUUUUCAGUAUCGCAGCUAACGCAUUAAGCAAUCCGCCUGGGGAGUACGACCGCAAGGUUAAAACUCAAAUGAAUUGACGGGGACCCGCACAAGCGGUGGAGCAUGUGGUUUAAUUCGAAGAUACGCGCAGAAACUUACCAAG
rnacentral:rRNA from 1 species